UACGUAGGGGGCAAGCGUUGUCCGGAAUCAUUGGGCGUAAAGAGCGUGUAGGCGGCUCGGUAAGUCCGCUGUAAAAGUCCAGGGCUCAACCCUGGAAAGCCGGUGGAAACUGUCGAGCUAGAGUCCGGAAGAGGCGAGUGGAAUUCCUGGUGUAGCGGUGAAAUGCGCAGAUAUCAGGAUGAACACCAAUGGCGAAGGCAGCUCGCUGGGACGGUACUGACGCUGAGACGCGAAAGCGUGGGGAGCAAACAGG
rnacentral:rRNA from 1 species